GGCUCAGAACGAACGCUGGCGGCGUGCCUAACACAUGCAAGUCGAGCGAGAAAGCCCGCAAGGGUGAGUACAGCGGCGCACGGGUGCGUAACACGUGGGUAAUCUGCCCUGAAGCCCGGAAUAACCUCCCGAAAGGGAAGCUAAUACCGGAUGAGACCACGGGAGCCUCGGCUCCUGUGGGAAAAGGUGGCCUCUGCAUGCAAGCUAUCACUUCAGGAUGAGCCCGCGGCCCAUCAGCUCGUUGGCGGGGUAACGGCCCACCAAGGCUACGACGGGUAGCUGGUCUGAGAGGACGAUCAGCCACACUGGAACUGAGACACGGUCCAGACUCCUACGGGAGGCAGCAGUGGGGAAUCUUGCGCAAUGGGCGAAAGCCUGACGCAGCAACGCCGCGUGUGUGAUGAAGGUCUUCGGAUCGUAAAGCACUGUCGGGAGGGACGAAUAAGGGCCAGGUGAACAAUCUGGUUCGAUGACGGUACCUCCAAAGGAAGCACCGGCUAACUCUGUGCCAGCAGCCGCGGUAAUACAGAGGGUGCAAGCGUUGUUCGGAAUUAUUGGGCGUAAAGCGCGUGUAGGCGGUCUCGCAAGUCGGAUGUGAAAGCCCUCGGCUUAACCGAGGAAGUGCGUUCGAAACUACGAGACUUGAGUGCCGGAGAGGGUGGCGGAAUUCCCGGUGUAGAGGUGAAAUUCGUAGAUAUCGGGAGGAACACCAGUGGCGAAGGCGGCCACCUGGACGGUAACUGACGCUGAGACGCGAAAGCGUGGGGAGCAAACAGGAUUAGAUACCCUGGUAGUCCACGCUGUAAACGAUGAGCGCUAGGUGUUGUGGGUGUUGACCCCCGCAGUGCCGCAGCUAACGCAUUAAGCGCUCCGCCUGGGGAGUACGGCCGCAAGGCUAAAACU
rnacentral:rRNA from 1 species